GGUCCACGGGUCUCAUUUUGCUUGGGAACAGCAUUUUACGCUGUGUUCUAAGGCAAUGGAGGGGGCUGCAAAUCCCACCCCCCAGUUGGGCAGCACAAUCUCCACACGACUCAAAGGGAUUGCGUGAGGUUCGAGAUGUACAAGCAUGGUUGGACAGCUGCUGGUCUGAAGUCAGCAGAGAAUCCCCCUUUCCUUCCCACGCCCUAGGGUCCUCAUGUGUGUAUGCUGAGACCCGAGGAGACUGCCAGACGUGGGAAGAUGGAAAUCCUCCGUGGAGGUGCCCCUCAGGGGGCCCAUCCUGCCUUUCUGCAGACUUCCUAGCCCCUCUGUGGCAGCCUCCAGCUAAUUCUGGGUCCAAAGGCCUGUUUUUAUUGCAUUUGACAAAUAUGUAUGGAGAGCUUACGACAACCCGUGCCCUGGUGUGGGCUGGGCACAACAUGUGAACAAGAUGGGCAAUGUCCCUGCUCUCAAGACCAGGGCGAACUGUCUCUGUUAAGAGGCAAACAAAUAUUGUAGACUCUGCCUCGGAUAUAGUAUCUCUGUCACAGUCACUUACCUCUGCCCUUGUGGCACAAAGGCAGCCCGAGACAGUACAACUUUGAUUACAAAAACAGGCGGCCGCCAGACCUGUAGGCCACAGUAGGUCAGUUCUUGCCAGACAGCUUAUAUUUGACAAAGGGAAGACCAAAGAGACCAGGGACAAUAACAAAACCAAUAAGAACAUGACAACGAGAUGAGAAAAUGAUGCAGAGAAUUACAACAGGCCAUUGGGAUGGACAGUGAUGGGGAAGGCUACUUUAGACUGGGUGGUUGAGGAAGGCAUUUCUAAGGACCUGGCCUGUAAACUGUUCUGACAAAGGAGCUGGCUGUGGUGAAAAUCAGAGGGAAUAACAUUCCACACAGCCAGAAGCACAGGCGCAAAAGCCCUAAGGCUGGAAUGAGCUUGACAUGCUUCAGGACCCAAGAGAUGCGCAUCAGGUGGGUAAUAUUGGUGGUCUGAGACGAUGCAAGAGAUACAGGCAGGGUCCUCUGGGGGCGGAGGGGGGGGCUCUGUAACCCAGGGUGAGGAGUUUGGCUCUUAGUCUCCCGUGAUGGGAAGCCAUAGGAGGGGAUUACCCAGAAAGGAAUGACAGAAUUCAUAAGGCAUGUGGGCAACUGACUGCUGCUUAUACCCUCUUUCCCCUCCCCAUGGCAGACCCCAAGGCCCAGGCUAGGGGGUGCUCCUCCUUGAUGGACUCCUACUGCCAGGCAGGCCAGAGGAACCACGGCCUGUGGGACAGGGUCUCUGGAGGGUACUCUUGUUUGCCUAGAAAAUCCUUUCUCUACCAUUGUGCCUAUUCCUCACUCUGCCCUUUAGCUUCAGUGGGGAGCGGUGGGCUGCCUGGCUGCAGGAUCUGGGGGCCAAAUGAAGUUCAGAGUAACAAGUUCCCCAUCACUUCCACUUUCCUGCACCAAAUGCAGGCACUUCUCGGGCUACUGGCAAGGGUCAAUGGUCACAGAAGGGGCAACCCACUGCCGCCAAGUGUUUGAUGAUAAUUAUAGUAACAAUCACAUCCAUCUAGGUAGCAGCUCACUUGGACUCCUCACCACCACCAAAAUCCAGUACUGCAGGGGUAAUUAUGAUCUCCAUUGCAGAGAUGAGGAAAUCAAGGCUGGGAGGCCAGAAUUCACCCAGAGAAGAAGAAUCAGUGUGCUAUCCACAUGGCUCUGGAGCUGGAGCUGCUGAACACUGGGUUGAUAACCACUACAUACCCCACCAGAAUGGCUAAACUGAAGAGGAAAGAAAAUAACAAAUGUUGGUACUGGCUUUGCCCUUUGCACUCAAUACCCAUUUGACUCUGGGGCACAUCCUUGGAAAGUGUGAUUCACUCGAACUUCUGG